GAAUACUAUAGCUCCCUGCAGCCUUUCUCAUGUAAACACUGUAUUUUCUAGGAAAAUACAGUGUUUACAUUGGAAGCUAGGAAAACCUCCAGUUGCAGUCUCUCAGACUGCCACCAAAGGGACAUCCGAGUUGAUGAAUGCAUAAUUCGCAUUCAUUUUCACACUUGACGUCUUCACGCUUGGGUGAAGACAUCAAACGUGCUAUCAGCAGACAGGAGAUAGUAGGCACUGUGAACGCGCCUCCUGUGUCCUGUAUUAACCCCGAAGCCUGUCAGCAAUGAGAGCAGACAGUUUGGGAGAUAAGAUCUCCUGCAAACAGCGUCGGCUUGAGCUGCCAGGCUGAGGACCAGAGACCGAGCAGGAGGGGAGUAAACUUAUUUUGUGACUGAGUGUGGGUGAGUGAUUGAGUGUAGGUGGGUGAGUGAUUGAGUGUGGGUGGGUGACUGAGUGACUAAUUGUGGGUGAGUGACUGAAUGAGUCUGAGCAGGAGGGGAGUAAACUUAUUUUGUGACUGAGUGAGUGUGGGUGACUGAGUGUGGGUGGUGGGUGAGUGACUGAGUGAGUUUGGGUGACUAAGUGAGUGGGUGGUGAGUGAGUGAAUGAGUGUGGGUGACUGAGUGAGUGUAGGUGAGUGAUUGUGAGUGCGGGUGGGUGACUGAUUGAGUGUGGGUGGGUGACUGAGUGUGAGUGAGUGAAUGUGGGUGAGUGAUUGUGAGUGUGGGUGGGUGAUUGUAAGUGUGGGUGGGUGAGUGAUUGUGACUGAGUGUGGGUGAAUGAUUGUGAGUGUGGGUGGGUGAGUGA